rnacentral:rRNA from 1 species
AUCGGGGGUGCCUUCGGGAGCCGAGAGACAGGUGCUGCAUGGCUGUCGUCAGCUCGUGUCGUGAGAUGUUGGGUUAAGUCCCGCAACGAGCGCAACCCUUGUCCCUAGUUGCCAUCAUUUAGUUGGGAACUCUAGGGAGACCGCCGGUGACAAACCGGAGGAAGGUGGGGAUGACGUCAAGUCAGUAUGGCCCUUACGGCCUGGGCUGCACACGUACUACAAUGCCCAGUACAGAACGAUCCGAGACCGCAAGGUGGAGGAAAUCACUAAAACUGGGCCCAGUUCAGAUUGAAGUCUGCAACUCGACUUCAUGAAGCCGGAAUCGCUAGUAAUGGCGUAUCAGCUACGACGCCGUGAAUACGUUCCCGGGCCUUGUACACACCGCCCGUCACAUCAUGGGAGUCGCUUGUAGCCGAAGUCGGCGUGCUAACUAGCAAUAGAGGCAGCCGCCUACGCUAUGAGCGGUAACUGGGAUGAAGUCGUAACAAGGUAACCGU